CGCCCGGCCAGAUGUAGUAAUUUCUAAGUAUCUAUGUUUUAUUUGGAUCUCCAUGUUUUAUUUUUUUUUAAGUAUGCAAUCUUCUUAAUAGUACUGUUUGAUCCUAUGCAGAAUAAUUUGGGCAUUUACAAAUACAUUGUACCUUAGAUUAAUUCUGCAAAUAAAUUCAUUAAUGAAUAAUUAUCUUCUUUGCCAUAAUAUCUCUUUUCUGUAGAACCUCUUACAAUAAAGAGAAGUAUUGCCUUUCCUCUGAUCUUGUUUCACUUGAAAUUUUUCAUGUAACAGGAAAUAGCCUAGGGUUAAAGUUGAUAUUAAACGUGUGGCUGACCUUUUUAUUAUUGAUGGCAAAGCAGUAUGAUUGAAAUGUGGUUUGCUGUAUUAUAAAAAGAUAUUUUUAUUCAACAAGGAACACGGAUUAUAAUGUUUUAUCAUCAUCAUGGUGAGAUGCGGUUUUGCUUUAAGUGGUCACUUUAUUUUUAGCUUUGCUAUCAUUUCUAAGAACACUCCAACAGUAGACACAGUAAUCACUCCGCGUAAAUAACAGAUAUAGCUACAUCAACCCAGGUGCUCAGAUAGCAAGUUGACAGUAGGGAAUUACAUUUUUAGUCAUUCCAUAAGCACAAUUUUCACUGAAAUCAGGAACAAGAUGUCAUUAGGAACUUAAUUACUUCUGUUAGCUUGGUGUCCUACCUGGGGUCAAUGUCUCUGCUAUCAACUUUUGUCUUCCAUACAUCUCUAUCAUCUCAUCUUAAUUAUGUCAUCUACCUAUAAAUGUUUGAGCUUAUUUUUAUCACCAAGUGUUUUUCUUAAUACCUAAGAAAUAUUAAGUGCAUUAGAAACUUAUAAUGAUAAUUAUAGUAAAAACAUCCUUCAAUUAAUUAAGCACUUAUUAUGGGCCAAGUACUGUAUUCGGUGUGUUACUUAGAAGCUAUCUCCUUUAGCAGUAAUACAAAUGUUGUAUGAAACAAAUACCAUUAUUGCUCUAAUUAAUUUGAUAGGGAAGAAUUUUGGCAGGACUGAUUAACUAGCUCAGUGUCAAAUACAUACUGGUGGGCAGGAAUUGUCUCCCAUUUUUGUGAGGAUGUCUGUGAAAUAACUUUUUUCCCCCUGGUGAUUAGGGUUAGUUACCUAAAUUCUAUGUACCUCAGUUUUCUCAGUUCUGUAAUGGGAAUAAUGAAAAAACUGUUGAGGGGAAAAUGAUAAUGAGUUAAUAACAAUGAGAUUAUAAUAUAUGUAAAACACUUAGUCCAUGGCACAUUUCAAGCACUCACUAGAUGUAAAGUGACUUGAUCAUGAUGAUGGUGAUGGUGAUGGUGAUGAUGACUCCUUUAGCUUUCAACUGAUCUUAGCUGCAGAAUCCAGGGCUGAGUAUGAGCUGAAACUAUCUCUUCUAUGUCCAUGAUAUUUCAAUAUAGAUGAGUGAUUAGAACAAAAUGUGAGUGAAACACAAUUAUUCUUUAUUCUUUUUUUUUUUUUUUUUCCUGAGAUGAAGUUUUGCUCUUGUCGCCCAGUCUGGAGUGUGAUGGCACAAUUUCGGCUCACUGCAACCUUCACCUCCCAGAUUCAAGUGAUCUCCUGCCUCAGCCUCCUGAGCAGCUGGGAUUACAGGUGCCUGCUACCAUGCCUGGCUAAAGUUUUUUGUAUUUUCAGGAGAGAUGGGGUUUCACCAUGUUGGUCAGGCUGGUCUCGAAUUCUUGACCUCAGGUGAUCUGACUGCCUUGGCCUCCCAUAUUCUUUCUUGAUUAAUUGACUUAUGCCUUUUUAAACAAGGACUUGUUGAUUAUACUGUAUGCAAAACAAUUUGCACACAUGAAAUCUCAUCUAAUGCCUAACAUGACCUGGAAAUCCCAUACUUUACUAAUAAAAAGCAGAAACUCAAAGUAGUUACGGGGCAAACAUCAAAUCACAGAGCGUCAAGUGGUUAAGAGGAAAUCAGAGCCAGUUUUCUAACUUUGUCCAUUAUUUUUUUCGGUACACCACCCCAUUUAAAAUGUGGAAAAUUCACUAGUGCUCUGUUCUCACUGGCCUCAUGUAACUUUUAAUUUCAAACCAUUUCUGGAUGCCUAUGCUUCCUUCUGGUGCUUAAUGAACUUGAAAUGUCAUCUAAUGAGAGUGUUGUUAACCUCUGGCCCCAGGCUCUGAUGACUCUUUCCAACCUCUUAUUUUCCUUCCCCUUUA
rnacentral:lncRNA from 10 species